rnacentral:rRNA from 1 species
CAAUAGCGUAUAUUAAAGUUGUUGCAGUUAAAAAGCUCGUAGUUGGAUUUCUGGUAGGAGUGACCGUUCCGAACUUGAUUGUUCGUGUAUUGUGUUUUCUCCAGCCAUCCUUGUGGAGAACUUUUCUCGCAUUAAUUUGUAGGGAUUGGGACCCGCAUCGUUUACUGUGAAAAAAUUAGAGUGUUUAAAGCAGGCAAUCGCUUGAAUACAUUAGCAUGGAAUAAUAAGAUAGGACUUUGGUACUAUUUUGUUGGUUUGCAUACCAAAUUAAUGAUCAACAGGAACAGUUUGAGGAUAUUCGUAUGAACAUGUCAGAGGUGAAAUUCUUGGAUUUUGAUCAGACGAACUACUGCGAAAGCAUUUAUCAAGGAUGUUUUCAUUAA